UACGGAGGGUGCUAGCGUUGUUCGGAAUCACUGGGCGUAAAGGGCGUGUAGGCGGUCUGUUAAGUCUGAUGUGAAAUCCCCUCGCUCAACGAGGGAACUGCGUCGGAUACUGGCAGACUCGAGUACCGGAGAGGAAGGUGGAAUUCCCGGUGUAGCGGUGAAAUGCGCAGAUAUCAGGAGGAACACCGGUGGCGAAGGCGGGUCUCUGGGCCGAUACUGACGCUGAGGAGCGAAAGCGUGGGGAGCGAACAGG
rnacentral:rRNA from 1 species